AAUUUUAAUUAAUUACUCUAGGCAAGAAAAGAAAUCUAAAUUUAUUUAGAUUUUAUUAUAAGCUAUUAAGGGCUAAUGGUGGAUGCCUUGACUGUAAGAGGCGAUGAAGGACGUAUUAGGCUGCGAUAAGCCUCGGGGAGCUGCCAAAGAGCUUUGAUCCGAGGAUUUCCGAAUGGGGCAACCCAGCAUAGUGAGAACUAUGUUACCCUACGGGGAGCGAACCUGGUGAAGUGAAACAUCUCAGUAGCCAGAGGAAGAGAAAUCAAAUGAGAUUCCCAUAGUAGCGGCGAGCGAACUGGGAUUAGGACAAACCCAAUGCUUGCAUUGGGGGUUGUAGGACUAUAAUGUGUAAUUAAAGAGAAUAGAUGAAUUAGUUGGAAAACUAGAGCAUAGAAGGUGAUACUCCUGUAAUUAAAAUUCUCAAUAAUACUAAUAGUAUCCUGAGUAGGUCGGAAC
rnacentral:rRNA from 1 species